AACGAACGCUGGCGGCAGGUCUAACACAUGCAAGUCGAGCGAGGACUUCGGUUCUAGCGGCGGACGGGUGAGUAACGCGUGGGAAUGUGCCCUUCUCUACGGAAUAGCCCUGGGAAACUGGGAGUAAUACCGUAUACGCCCUUUUGGGGAAAGAUUUAUCGGAGAAGGAUCAGCCCGCGUUGGAUUAGGUAGUUGGUGGGGUAAUGGCCUACCAAGCCGACGAUCCAUAGCUGGUUUGAGAGGAUGAUCAGCCACACUGGGACUGAGACACGGCCCAGACUCCUACGGGAGGCAGCAGUGGGGAAUCUUAGACAAUGGGGGCAACCCUGAUCUAGCCAUGCCGCGUGAGUGAUGAAGGCCUUAGGGUUGUAAAGCUCUUUCAGCUGGGAAGAUAAUGACGGUACCAGCAGAAGAAGCCCCGGCUAACUCCGUG
rnacentral:rRNA from 1 species